rnacentral:rRNA from 1 species
CCUACGGGAGGCUGCAGUGGGGAAUAUUGCACAAUGGGGGAAACCCUGAUGCAGCGACGUCGCGUGAGUGAUGAAGUAUCUCGGUAUGUAAAGCUCUAUCAGCAGGGAAGAUAAUGACGGUACCUGACUAAGAAGCCCCGGCUCACUACGUGCCAGCAGCCGCGGGAAUACGUAGGGGGCAAGCGUUAUCCGGAUUUACUGGGGGUUAAGGGUGCGUAGGUGGGAGGGGAAGUCAGAUGUGAAAGCCCGGGGUCCAACCCCGGUACUGCAUUUGAAACUGUGCGGCUUGAGUGCAGGAGAGGUAAGCGGAAUGCGUGGUGUAGCGGUGAAAUGCGUAGAUAUUAGGAGGAACACCAGUGGCGAAGGCGGCUUACUGGACUGUAACUGACACUGAGGCACGAAAGCGUGGGGAGCAAACAGGAUUAGAUACCCUUGUAGUC